CAGUCGCCACGGUAAGACGAACCGUGCGAACGUUAUUCGGAAUCACUGGGCUUAAAGCGCGUGUAGGCGGGCCGCCGCGUCGGCUGCUGAAAUCCCCCGGCUCAACCGGGGAACGGGCACCGAUACGGGCGGCCUCGAGGGGGGUAGGGGGGCCUGGAACUUCCGGUGGAGCGGUGAAAUGCGUUGAGAUCGGAAGGAACGCCCGUGGCGAAAGCGAGGCCCUGGACCCUUUCUGACGCUGAGACGCGAAAGCCAGGGGAGCGAACGGGAUUAGAUACCCCCGUAGUCCCUGUCUCUUAUA
rnacentral:rRNA from 1 species